UCUGUGGUGUCUGUAGUGAUGCCCCGUCUCAUUCCUGAUGCUGAUCAGUGCCUUCGCUCUUGGUUUUGUCAUCCGCCCAGGCAGAGCUUUGUUGGUUUUGUCACCUCCUUGCAGAUCUUUGAGGGGGAGAGUCUAGGCCCCCACACCCUUUGCUGGUGCAAGUAAGGUUGGUGCAAGUGAAGCUAUUCCUGUCUUUGGAAGCGUGGAGCAGCAUCCACUCUCUGCCCCAAUGUCACACCUUCUGAGGGAGAUAAAACCAAAGGACAUAAUGAAUCCCAAAGCAAAAAACAAAAGACAGUUCUCCCUAAUACCCCCUCGCCACUCAGCCAAAACAACGAAACACCAACCAACUAUUUAACCUUCACAAAAUUCUGGCUCCUUGACAAAAAGAAAAUGCAUGGAACACUGCUCUAUGAAUAGAGAAUCAGCAAAAUUACAGAUGGACCAGCAGGUGGGCAGGACGCUGGCUUCACUCUCAAUCCCUGACAUACACACUCCAGUAUGGAGUGGAAUUUAAGAGAGUCAAGUGCAUCCUCAUCUCUCAUUUCCCGUUGGAUCUCAUUCUGCCAGGGGGAGUUUAAACAAUUGCAACGUGCUUUCUCAUACCCUUGUCUUAAUGUACACCAAUACUUUUAUAUAACUUCUGCUGCGUUGAAUCAGCCAGAGACACACAUGAACUUGUCCAACAUUCGUUCUUAUUUUAGUGUCAGUCUCUCGGGGAAUGUGGCUUGAUCUGUGUAAUAACAGAAAACACAGUCCCUAGAUUUUCUGAAACAAUAACAAUUUCAAAAUUCUUUUCUAUUUUCCCUGAAGUACAGUUAUACUUGUGAGAU
rnacentral:lncRNA from 10 species